rnacentral:rRNA from 1 species
CUACGGGUCGCAGCAGUGGGGAAUAUUGCACAAUGGAGGAAACUCUGAUGCAGCAACGCCGCGUGGAGGAUGACGCAUUUCGGUGUGUAAACUCCUUUUAUAUGGGAAGAUAAUGACGGUACCAUAUGAAUAAGCACCGGCUAACUCCGUGCCAGCAGCCGCGGUAAUAAGGAGGGUGCAAGCGUUACUCGGAAUCACUGGGCGUAAAGCGCGCGCAGGCGGGUUUGUAAGUUGGAUGUGAAAUCCUAUGGCUUAACCAUAGAACUGCAUCCAAAACUACUUACCUAGAGUCUGGGAGGGGAAGAUGGAAUUAGUGGUGUAGGGGUAAAAUCCGUAGAGAUCACUAGGAAUACCAAAAGCGAAGGCGAUCUUCUGGAACAGUACUGACGCUGAGGCGCGAAAGCGUGGGGAGCAAACAGGAUUAGAUACCCCAGUAGUC